AAAUAAUACACUGUAUAUAUAUCCAACUGUCAGUUCUGUUCCCAGCAACAAGGCGAACGGAUGUUCAGAGGAACCUCUCCCAUACAGCCCAACUAAAAAUACUGAAUAAAGACAUUCAAACCUUUUACAUGUGUGACUGAGCUGGCAGGAAACGAGAUUCUUCCACUACCAGAGCCUCGGUAAACACCAACCUCCAGGAGAGAACGAGCAGGGAGCUACUUUCCCUGGGGACGCAUGCACAUCCCUAGUGGCCCAGAGCCUGAGUCUAAAGGCUCCCUCUUUGGGAUAAAGACAAAUGGUGACGCCUGCCUGGGGGCUGCAACCCCUCCUGCAUGAAGCUGGGACCCUGAACUACGCCCUCUGGGUGGGUCAGAGAAAAUCCACUCUCUGAGGCGGAGCGGACUCUACCUACCAGCCUCAGCUGGUGGAGAACUGUGGCGCUGGUGGCAGGGAACAAAAUGAACAGUUCCCUCUGAGAAGUCCUGACCACAAGCCGGUCCUCUUGUGGGCUUAGAACGAGGAGGAUUCACACUACAAACGUAAACAUUUCAUUUAAAGUGGUCUGGAUAAGGAGCCUGUUGUAUGCUUGGCAGAAGAAAAUUGUCUCAGCAGGAACGCUGAGCCUCAGUUAAAAAUAACUCCCUUGGGACGCCAUAGCAACAUUGUGAGUCGCUGGGAACUCGCCUAAUCAGACCUCUGCAAACAGGCAGGUCUGCGGACGCCAUAGCAACGGCCUGAGUCGCGCAGAACGCGCCGAAUCAGAACGCGCCGAAUCAGCCCACGCCCCAGCAGCAAUCCACGGGACCCCCCCCCCCCCCACACACACCCUCCACUGUACAGCCAUCUGGUUCCACACUACAAAGACGCAGAGGACACCGGACCACCAGACCACUGUACUGGAUCUCUCCAGAACCCAUCUGUUUCUUUCCAUCUUCACUACCCAAGGCCUAGCUACUUCUACAAGAUGACAGCAGCCCCCAGCAGCCUGUCCUGCCUCGUUCUCACUGUCCAUGUUGGGCCAGGCAGAUAUUCUCCGCAUCAGUGGCUCCUCGGUGCCACUAGGACAAACCCAAAGUCGUCCGGUGUACAACAGUCUUCAGCAUCUGGCCUCUGUUUACCGCCACAUCUAAGCCUGCGUCAUCCCCUCUCAACUUCUAGGUCUUAAAUGUGCUCUAACUGCACCCUGAAUGCUUGUGGGUAUCUUCCCUUUCCUUCUGCACAGCAUCUGCCCCCCACCAUGGUGGGGCUUGAGCCCAGGGGCACUCUGCACUGAAUUCUAUUUUCAUUUUGAGAUAGGGUCUUGCUAAUUGCCCAGGCCAGGCUUGAACUUGUGAUGUUCCUGCCUCAGCCUGCUGAGGAGCUGGAAUUACAAUCAUGUACCACUGCUUCCAGGUUAAUGUUCCUUUUAUCUCAGGCCUCAAUGCUCACUCCAAGUGGGACACCCUGUCCUUAAAGCACCCAGGAUAUGGCAGGGAAUCCAACACUAAACAUCUGAGCAGGUAGACAAUGCAGGCCCCACACCCCCUGGGAGCCUAGGGUGCAGAGAUACAGUACCUUCCCCCAUGGGUCCUUGUUUGUCUUCUCUUUAAAAGGAUUUUGCCCCCUUUUUAAUUAGGGGACAUACAAAGUGAGGGACAAGAUAAUCUUUGUUUUGGGGGGUUGUUGUUUUUCUUUUUGGAGACAGGGCCUUGCUAUAUAGUCCAGGCUGGACUUGAACUCACUGCAUAGCCCAGGGAGUCUUUGAACUCAAAGCAAUUUUCCUGCCUCAGCCUCCCAAGUGCUGGUACUACUGGAAUGCACCAUCAGGCCAAGCACAAGAUAGUUUGUAAGUAGAAAUAUACAAACACAUAGUCUUUGUGAUGUACCGUAUUAGAUCUAUGAGAAGUCCCUUUAAUUCUAGCCCUUUUCUUAGCAAGGUCUUUAAAGAUCAGGAACAGUACAGAGAGAGAGGAAAUCUAGGGGAAAAGUGGUUAAAUUUAAAUGACAAGAAUAUUUACCAUUAGCCACAGCUCCCCAGCGGUGGGAUGAACUGGCCCAGAGGUCUGGAAGGAUCUCUGAGGUAGAAAAUAGUAGUCCCAACCUUUUUCAUUAUUUAAAAAAAAUUGUGGCUCUCUAAAUAUCUAUCAUUGAAUACAUGGAUGACAAAAAGGUGGUGUGAGGCAACACUUUUAAAUACUUUAAAAUUUUACUGAAUUCCAGUGCUAUCUCUCUCCAUUUGGUACAGAAAAUAUGUUUAUUCCUUCCAAAGACAAUAUUUGAUGCAUCUGUGGACUUAAGGGUCUUUUGCAGAAGAUUCUGGCCCACAGAUCAGGAGAUGUCGCUGUGUGAUAAAUCGUCCAUGAAGUAAGCAGAGGUUGGUUUACUUUGUAAGUAAACCAGUUUGAUGAACUUCCCAGUACCAAACCCAGCACUCCAAAGGUAGGGAUUAUUAAAGUACUCUCUCCCUCUGACCCGGUCUUUAUCUGAAAAUGAAGUUCAAGCCCAACAGUAGAGGUUCCAGCUCUCAUGGGGUGGGGCAUUUUGCUAGUCCGAAGUGUAACAGCUGUUCCCAAGUCUUUCCUCAGGUGGGAAUGGCCUGGAAAACGGCUUUGGUAAUUAACGGUGAGGACUCGGUGCUGACAGCCUUUGUCUCUGAAUGCAUGUGUGAUGAGAAACGGCUGUUUGGAAUCAUUUGAUUGUGAAUGGAACGUCCCAGUCUUGCCUGUGAUGACAAAGCCCCAGGGGUCAUUUCACCGACACACAGGUCCUGCCAGUGAAUCAGUUUAAACUCAGAAAGGAUAAAAGUAAAGAUCUUUAUUUGUGGUCUUAGGAACUGCUACGCAGGAGACCCAAGUACAGUUUGUUUGAAACAGUGUUCUGAAGAAGGCAGGGAAGAUGGGCAAGCUGUUGUUACAAGUCAGUAAAAAUUCUUCGGUGGGGAAACUUCUCUUAGAGUUGAGACUAGAGGCUGUGCAACAGGGGGCACGUGACUGAUAGAAGACCAAAAAAUGCACAUACUUCAUAAAAAUGUCCAUAAUACAAGAAUCCAUAACCCUUUGAGAUUCGUCUUGAGUCUCUGAGCACACUGUGAUUUGUUCCAGAUACUGGCAAUCAAAGGGGGAGGUGGCUGAAGUCCACCUUCUCCAGCAGCAGCUUGUGUCAUGCAGAAGUCCUGCUUCCUUAGGCCAGGGAUUUAGCUCAGUGGUUCCACCCACCUGCCUCACAAGCUGAGGACCUGGGUUCGAUCCCUGGUACCAAAAAAAAAAAAAAAAAGAAGUCCUGCUUCCCUAAUGGCCUCCAUUUAGAAAACCUCUCUCAAUCUUGCUUUUGUUGUAACUUUCCUUUUAUUUUCACAGGCAUCAUUCCUCUCUCAGGUCUAACACUCUACAUUCCUCUUAACCAUUAGAUUCCUGCAGAAUAAGGUCCCUGACUCCACUUCCCAACCCUCCUGGUAAUCAGGAGGUGAUGUUCCUAAUGGAACAUAAAACAAUGUUUCUAACAGGACUCAAGCCUUCCAAGACCAUGAACUGCUCGUGAGUGACCAAUGACAUCACCAGUUCCAGGAACAUUCUCCUAUCUCUUGACCAAAGAUUACCGAAGAGACCCAAUUGCUAAACUGCUUCUGCUUCAGCACCCACUUCAAGAUGACCCCCUUCCUCUGGUCUCUCAGACUCUCAAAGAAGCACACACCCUAAGCAAAUCCCCUUCUGCCUCUACUGAGAUGCACCUCUGUCCUCCUGGGGUGCCACCUGUCUUGUAACUGGCCACAGCUACACUCCUGGUGAUCCUUUUCUAGUGGGUUUUAUCAGAAUGACUGAAGUGUUUCUUCACCUAUGAGGCCAAUUUGUAGACAGAUGAUAUACAGUCAUGUCAUGCAACACAUAAUGAUGCCUUUGUCAGUGACAGAUCACAUAUACAAUGGUGGUAUAGUAAGGUCACACCAAUAUUGCCUAGAAAUAUUAGUGUCUUAAUUUGUUUGACAUUUCCAACAACAAAACUACCUAACAAUACAUUUUUCAGAACAAAUUCCCAUCAAGUGCGUCAUGACUGUACUGCUUUCCAUAUGCUCACUACCUACAAGUAGUGACCUUUUUUUUUUUUUUUUGGUACCGGGGAUUGAACCCAGGUCCUCAGCUUUCGAGGCAGGCGGAACCACUGAGCUAAAUCCCCGGUGGCCCUGUAGUGACCAUUCCUGAUGGGAUACUCAGAGACAGGAGGGAACUUGCAAAGGGUGGCAAAAACUAGGAGAAACACCAAAUUCAUGCCCAGAAGGAAAUGGAAUUGAAGAGGAUGGGAUUGGAACUGAAGAACAUAGGAGACUUAACUUUAUAAUACUUUUUUAAUUUUCAAAAAUAACUUGAAACACUUGUAAAUAUUUGGGGUGGCAAAUAUAGGCACUUAUAUUAGUUUCUGUAUUUUAUAAAAUUUUUCCCCAAAAUGAGUGCUUGUAGGUUUUUUGUUUUUGUCUUUGUGGUACUGGGGUUUGAACCCAGGGCUUUCACACUGAGCUACAUGUUAUAGCUGUCCCAGCGAAAAAGACGACGCCACAAAAAUGUCCAAAUUAAAGGAGUCCUUUUAAUUAGCCAGCGACCAAGGAUGAGCUCUUGCUCCCAUCUUCCUUGUUACCAAUCAAGCAGGGAAACCCAGUUUUGUUUUGUUUUUUUGGUACUGGGGAUCAAACUCGGGACCUUGCGCUUGCAAGGCAGUCGCCGGAACCACUGAGCUAAAUCCCUGGCCCUAGGGAAACCCAGUUUUUAAAGGGAAAAAACCCCACAUAAUGGUAUGUCAUGAUCUCACCUUUGAGCAAGCACAGGGCUACAGAAGCGGACUGCAGGUUAGAUUAAAAUCCAAUUUUGGGAUUUGGCAGGAAAUUCUUAUCUUUAUGGUUAGGAUUGCAGUAUAACGUGUUCUGUCCUUUGUUCUUAACCACAAGGUAAGCUGUGUGCUGGUUAACAUCACUUUGAACAAGCAGUCCGGGGAGGAAAAGGGGUAAAGUUCAGGCGCAGGUUAUUGGGGGGUUUCUGGUUAACUCGCUGACUUCACUACAUCAUCAACUUUUUAUUCUUUUGAGAUAGAGUCUCACUAAGUCACUAAGUAGGUCAAGUUGGACUCGAACUUGCGACCCUCCUGCCUCAGCCUUUAAGAAUGCUGGGAUUAAAGGAAAGAAGGGAAAGGAAAAAUGAUGAGAAAUGGAAAAAAUGGAAAUAAAGUCUUUGUAAAUAGG
rnacentral:lncRNA from 1 species